GACGAACGCUGGCGGCGUGCUUUACACAUGCAAGUCGAACGGAAAGGCCCUGCUUUUGUGGGGUGCUCGAGUGGCGAACGGGUGAGUAACACGUGAGUAACCUGCCCUUGACUUUGGGAUAACUUCAGGAAACUGGGGCUAAUACCGGAUAUGAGCUCCUGCUGCAUGGUGGGGGUUGGAAAGUUUCGGCGGUUGGGGAUGGACUCGCGGCUUAUCAGCUUGUUGGUGGGGUAGUGGCUUACCAAGGCUUUGACGGGUAGCCGGCCUGAGAGGGUGACCGGCCACAUUGGGACUGAGAUACGGCCCAGAAUCCUACGGGAGGCAGCAGUGGGGAAUAUUGCACAAUGGGCGGAAGCCUGAUGCAGCAACGCCGCGUGCGGGAUGACGGCCUUCGGGUUGUAAACCGCUUUCGCCUGUGACGAAGCGUGAGUGACGGUAAUGGGUAAAGAAGCACCGGCUAACUACGUG
rnacentral:rRNA from 1 species